GUGCUCGCUUCGGCAGCACACAUACCAACAUUGAAACGAUACAGAGGUUAUUAGUACUGUCCCUGGGCAAGGGUGACACACACAUAUUUUU
rnacentral:snRNA from 1 species